UACAGAGGUCUCAAGCGUUGUUCGGAUUUAUUGGGCGUAAAGGGCGCGUAGGCGGCCUUCUAAGUCGAACGUGAAAUCCCCGGGCUCAACCCGGGAACUGCGUCCGAUACUGGAAGGCUUGAAUCCGGGAGAGGGAUGCGGAAUUCCAGGUGUAGCGGUGAAAUGCGUAGAUAUCUGGAGGAACACCGGUGGCGAAGGCGGCAUCCCGGACCGGUAUUGACGCUGAGGCGCGAAAGCCAGGGGAGCAAACGGG
rnacentral:rRNA from 1 species